UACGAAGGGAGCUAGCGUUGUUCGGAAUCACUGGGCGUAAAGCGCACGUAGGCGGCUUCUUAAGUCAGGGGUGAAAUCCUGGAGCUCAACUCCAGAACUGCCUUUGAUACUGAGGAGCUUGAGUCCGGGAGAGGUGAGUGGAACUGCGAGUGUAGAGGUGAAAUUCGUAGAUAUUCGCAAGAACACCAGUGGCGAAGGCGGCUCACUGGCCCGAUACUGACGCUGAGGCACGAAAGCGUGGGGAGCAAACAGGGAUUAGAUACCCC
rnacentral:rRNA from 1 species